AACGAACGCUGGCGGCAUGCCUAACACAUGCAAGUCGAACGAGACCUUCGGGUCUAGUGGCGCACGGGUGCGUAACGCGUGGGAACCUGCCUUUAGGUUCGGAAUAACUCAGAGAAAUUUGAGCUAAUACCGGAUGAUGUCUUCGGACCAAAGAUUUAUCGCCUUUAGAUGGGCCCGCGUUGGAUUAGCUAGUUGGUGGGGUAAAGGCCUACCAAGGCGACGAUCCAUAGCUGGUCUGAGAGGAUGAUCAGCCACACUGGGACUGAGACACGGCCCAGACUCCUACGGGAGGCAGCAGUGGGGAAUAUUGGACAAUGGGCGAAAGCCUGAUCCAGCAAUGCCGCGUGAGUGAUGAAGGCCUUAGGGUUGUAAAGCUCUUUUACCCGAGAUGAUAAUGACAGUAUCGGGAAAAUAAGCUCCGGCUAACUCCGUG
rnacentral:rRNA from 1 species